AAGUUUUCUCGUCCGCAGUUGUUAAGAAAAAGCCAGACUCCCACUUCUAUUCAUGGCAGUUCUUUACCUGUCCCCCAGAUGCCCUCAGACUUUUCCACCCGCCCCAGUCACCUGACUCCCUCAUCCUCCUGCUAACCUGUUUUCACUUUCCCUUGUCAGCCCUGCAGUACAUACUCUGGUUUUCACCAAUUCCCUGCCAGGUUGUUCCCAGUCACACAAGUUUCUAUGUUGCAAAGUUGCCAUGUUUCUCAUGUUGCCUUCACCAUACCUGCAUGUACAUAUCUUCAUUGUGGCAAUAAAUCACUGAAUGGGGCCAGUCUGCCCAGUUGUCUGCA